rnacentral:ncRNA from 2 species
AGGCGCUGAGGGAGCGAUGAACUGCUGCCUGUAAAUGGUCACUUGGGCAGUGGGGAGCUAAUAGUGAAACCGACCUGGGAAGGU